UCUACAAAAUACAGUAAACACCUUACAUCAUCUAAGGAGUUCAUGCCACUCAUUUUUCAAGUUCAAAAAAAGAACACCAAAUGAAUAUCCAUUACAAGAUUUUACCGAUUUUUAUGAAGUAAUCAGCCCAAACGAUACCCUUAAACUCCCUCAUCACGUUCUCGGUUCCAUUGCUCAAUUCUCGCCCUCCUUUCCUCGCUUCCUUCUCUCACAUUUCGUGGGCUUCUGCUCCGUUUCGGGCUUCCAUGUCUCCUCCUUCCACCACCAUCCCGAUCAUGCCUCUCUGAUCUAUCACUGCUCCUUUUCCCAUUUCCAUGCCGGUCACGGUCCCUAACGUCCCCUCUCUCUCGCUCUCGCGAAUGCUCUCUCUUACGUCGAGGGCUUAUACUCCUGCUUCGACUUCUGCUUCCCCGACGGUAUGAACGACGAUACCUCCCAAACAAUUUCCUCCUAAGCUCCCUCGAAAUCUGCUUCACAUGCAUGAAAUUACAGUACCCACCACGGUUACAGCUGUUUUCUUCAUACUGCCUACAAGUAGCUUCCCUAAAAUCCGUCACAGGAGAGAAAUCAGCAAUGAUAGGACGACCGGAAUAAAAUCUCCCCUGCAAAGCCUGCAACGCAGCAGCUGCGUGAUCCUCCUCCUUAAACAGAACAUACACAUUCCCAAUCAUAUGAUCAGCAAGAUUGUCACAAACAUUGAGACUCUCCACUUCACCAAACUUGUUGAGUUCUUCGAAAAUAUCUUCGUAGAAAUCCUCAAAGUGGUCUUGGAUCUUACUCGGGUCUAACGGCUGUCCCUGAGGAUCCACACCUGGAGUUAUCAUGUCAGGUCUCUGGUACAUGUUCGAGAGGAGAAGCGUCGGCGAGAUGGUGGGACGGUUAUG